ensembl:lncRNA
UGGUGCUCUAAUCAUAAUGACACAUUUGCAUACUUCUCGCUGUGAUAAGAGUGUGAAAGUGAGGAGCAUUGUGGAGGUGGAGGUGUGGAGCAUUGUGGAGGUGGAGGUGUGGAGCAAUGUGAAGGUGGAGGUGGUGAUAUGGAGCAAUGAGGAGAUGGAUGUGUGGAGCAAUGUGGAGGUGGAGGUGGUGAUAUAGAGAAAUGUGUUGGUGGAGGUGUGGAGCAAUGUGGAGGUGGAGGUGGAGGUGGUGAUAUAGAGAAAUGUGGACGUGGAGGUGUGGAGCAAUGUGGAGGUGGAGAUGUGGAGCAAUGUAGUUGUGGAGGUAUGGGGCAAUGUGGAGGUGGAGAUGUGGAGCAAUGUAGAGGUGGAGGUGUGGGGCAAUGUGGAGGUGUGGAGCAAUGUAGAAGUGGAGGUGGAGAUGUGGAGAAAUGUGGAGGGGGGCUAAAUGCAGAUAAGCUGACACUGACCGCUGAGAAGGAACAUGAUAGAAUGCUUGCCAUAAACUCCUCAUGAAAACGAAGGACAAGCUCUUAGCAACUGGGCAAG